UUCCGUAUAUAUAUUCGUACAUCGCGUUUUUAAUUCCAUAGAAGGACAUUAUCGCAGUCGAUACAUUUUUUUUAACAAUUUACUACUAAAGAACAAAAUGAAAUUUAUUUUCUCCUUUUUAGUCAUAUUGCUGGUUACACUGGCGGUCCAAAACUGCGAAUCGCUAAGGAUAUGUGAUUGUCCACGAGAAGGAUACGAGUGUACGCAUGAAUGGCGCCCUGUAUGUGGACUAAAAGAUGGAAGAGAGUGUACUUUUAGCAAUUUGUGCAACCUAGGCGAUUGUGAAUAUUUAUACGAUGGAGAAUGCGGAGAACGUAAUAUAUAAAGAUACUUGUGAACAAGUAUCGGCGCAACUGUACUUAACUACCAGAUAGUGUCCCAUUGAAAAAGUUGCAUGUACAUGAACGCCAUGAUUAUUUUAUAUUUUGAUAAUAAAACCGUUUUCCAAAAGUGUUUUAC